rnacentral:rRNA from 1 species
AGAGUUUGAUCCUGGCUCAGGACGAACGCUGGCGGCGUGCUUAACACAUGCAAGUCGAACGAGAAUCUGCUGAAGGAGGAUUCGUCCAACGGAAGUAGAGGAAAGUGGCGGACGGGUGAGUAACGCGUGAGGAACCUGCCUUGAAGAGGGGGACAACAGUUGGAAACGACUGCUAAUACCGCAUGACGCAUAGGGGUCGCAUGAUUCUUAUGCCAAAGAUUUAUCGCUUCAAGAUGGCCUCGCGUCUGAUUAGCUAGUUGGCGGGGUAACGGCCCACCAAGGCGACGAUCAGUAGCCGGACUGAGAGGUUGAACGGCCACAUUGGGACUGAGAUACGGCCCAGACUCCUACGGGAGGCAGCAGUGGGGAAUAUUGGGCAAUGGGCGCAAGCCUGACCCAGCAACGCCGCGUGAAGGAAGAAGGCUUUCGGGUUGUAAACUUCUUUUAAGAGGGAAGAGCAGAAGACGGUACCUCUAGAAUAAGCCACGGCUAACUACGUGCCAGCAGCCGCGGUAAUACGUAGGUGGCAAGCGUUGUCCGGAUUUACUGGGUGUAAAGGGCGUGCAGCCGGGUCUGCAAGUCAGAUGUGAAAUCCAUGGGCUCAACCCAUGAACUGCAUUUGAAACUGUAGAUCUUGAGUGUCGGAGGGGCAAUCGGAAUUCCUAGUGUAGCGGUGAAAUGCGUAGAUAUUAGGAGGAACACCAGUGGCGAAGGCGGAUUGCUGGACGAUAACUGACGGUGAGGCGCGAAAGUGUGGGGAGCAAACAGGAUUAGAUACCCUGGUAGUCCACACUGUAAACGAUGAAUACUAGGUGUGCGGGGACUGACCCCCUGCGUGCCGCAGUAAACACAAUAAGUAUUCCACCUGGGGAGUACGAUCGCAAGGUUGAAACUCAAAGGAAUUGACGGGGGCCCGCACAAGCGGUGGAUUAUGUGGUUUAAUUCGAAGCAACGCGAAGAACCUUACCAGGGUUUGACAUCCUGCUAACGAAGUAGAGAUACAUUAGGUGCCCUUCGGGGAAAGCAGAGACAGGUGGUGCAUGGUUGUCGUCAGCUCGUGUCGUGAGAUGUUGGGUUAAGUCCCGCAACGAGCGCAACC